AGACCCGAAACCCGGUGAUCUAGCCAUGGGCAGGUUGAAGGUUGGGUAACACUAACUGGAGGACCGAACCGACUAAUGUUGAAAAAUUAGCGGAUGACCUGUGGCUGGGGGUGAAAGGCCAAUCAAACCGGGAGAUAGCUGGUUCUCCCCGAAAGCUAUUUAGGUAGCGCCUCGUGAAUUCAUCUCCGGGGGUAGAGCACUGUUUCGGCUAGGGGGUCAUCCCGACUUACCAACCCGAUGCAAACUGCGAAUACCGGAGAAUGUUAUCACGGGAGACACACGGCGGGUGCUAACGUCCGUCGUGAAGAGGGAAACAACCCAGACCGCCAGCUAAGGUCCCAAAGUCAUGGUUAAGUGGGAAACGAUGUGGGAAGGCCCAGACAGCCAGGAUGUUGGCUUAGAAGCAGCCAUCAUUUAAAGAAAGCGUAAUAGCUCACUGGUCGAGUCGGCCUGCGCGGAAGAUGUAACGGGGCUAAACCAUGCACCGAAGCUGCGGCAGCGACACUCAGGUGUUGUUGGGUAGGGGAGCGUUCUGUAAGCCUGCGAAGGUGGCCUGUGAGGGUUGCUGGAGGUAUCAGAAGUGCGAAUGCUGACAUAAGUAACGAUAAAGCGGGUGAAAAGCCCGCUCGCCGGAAGACCAAGGGUUCCUGUCCAACGUUAAUCGGGGCAGGGUGAGUCGACCCCUAAGGCGAGGCCGAAAGGCGUAGUCGAUGGGAAACGGGUUAAUAUUCCCGUACUUGGUGUUACUGCGAAGGGGGGACGGAGAAGGCUAUGUUGGCCGGGCGACGGUUGUCCCGGUUUAAGCGUGUAGGUGUGUGUUCCAGGUAAAUCCGGUUCACUUUAACACUGAGGCGUGACGACGAGGCACUACGGUGCUGAAGCAACAAAUGCCCUGCUUCCAGGAAAAGCCUCUAAGCAUCAGGUAACAUCAAAUCGUACCCCAAACCGACACAGGUGGUCAGGUAGAGAAUACCAAGGCGCUUGAGAGAACUCGGGUGAAGGAACUAGGCAAAAUGGUGCCGUAACUUCGGGAGAAGGCACGCUGACACGUAGGUGAAGUGAUUUACUCAUGGAGCUGAAGUCAGUCGAAGAUACCAGCUGGCUGCAACUGUUUAUUAAAAACACAGCACUGUGCAAACACGAAAGUGGACGUAUACGGUGUGACGCCUGCCCGGUGCCGGAAGGUUAAUUGAUGGGGUCAGCGCAAGCGAAGCUCCUGAUCGAAGCCCCGGUAAACGGCGGCCGUAACUAUAACGGUCCUAAGGUAGCGAAAUUCCUUGUCGGGUAAGUUCCGACCUGCACGAAUGGCGUAAUGAUGGCCAGGCUGUCUCCACCCGAGACUCAGUGAAAUUGAACUCGCUGUGAAGAUGCAGUGUACCCGCGGCAAGACGGAAAGACCCCGUGAACCUUUACUAUAGCUUGACACUGAACAUUGAGCCUUGAUGUGUAG
rnacentral:rRNA from 1 species